rnacentral:rRNA from 1 species
UACGUAGGGUGCAAGCGUUGUCCGGAAUUAUUGGGCGUAAAGAGCUCGUAGGCGGUCUGUCGCGUCUGCUGUGAAAACUCAGGGCUUAACCCUGAGCUUGCAGUGGGUACGGGCAGACUAGAGUGCGGUAGGGGAGACUGGAAUUCCUGGUGUAGCGGUGAAAUGCGCAGAUAUCAGGAGGAACACCGGUGGCGAAGGCGGGUCACUGGGCCGCAACUGACGCUGAGGAGCGAAAGCAUGGGGAGCGAACAGG